CAUGGAGGGUGAGAAUCCCGUUACGGCCGAAUUGAUGCGUUUUGCGAUACGCUUUCAAAGAGUCAAGUUGUUUGGGAAUGCAGCUUAAAAUGGGAGGUAAAUUUCUCCUAAGGCUAAAUAUUGGCGAGAGACCGAUAGCGAACAAGUACCGUGAGGGAAAGAUGAAAAGUACUUUGAAAAGAGAGUUAAACAGUCCGUGAAAUUGUUGAAAGGGAAACGAUUGAAGUCAGUCGUACCAGCGGGAAAUCAACCUUUCGAGUGGGUUUUUGGAGUUUUGAAGUGUGUCAAAACCUUGGAGAUUUCAAAAUUUUCGCUCUUUUGGUGUACUUUCUCGUAGGUAGGUUAACAUCGAUUUUGAUCAUCAUAAAAGGAUUGGAGGAAUGUAGCUUCGAUCUCGUAUUGAAGUGUUAUAGCCUUUGGUAAAUGUGAUGAUUAGGAUCGAGGAUUGCAACGAAUACCCUUUUGGGCUAUCCGCCUGAUCUCUGAUACGUGGCCUUGGUGUUGAAAGCGUGCUUAUGAUAUUAAGGUAUUACGGUCAAAAGGUUAGAACGGAUUACAUUCGUUAAGGAUGUUGACGUAAUG
rnacentral:rRNA from 1 species